GUAAUUAUGAGCCACCAAUAACAAAAAAGAUGUCUGUGACAUGGAUCCCUAAUAUUCUCUCAGAUGGUGACGAAUAAAAAAAGAAGAACCCAGGAGUAUAAAAAAUACUUACAUACAUACCUACCAUUGUGGUGCUGUACAUACAUACAUAGUCACACCACCAUACCAGGAUGGACUGAGCCAAGCACUACCAAGAAGACCAACUGCAGCCUCUUGUGAUGGACAUAAUGACCAGAGUGGUGACAGAUAAGCAACCCAUCACAAAUAUAAAUAUUUCUUUUUUCUGUGCAAGUUUUGAUGUUAUAAAUAAAAUACAAUCAAAAAGUAUUUGUAAAAAGUAUGUUUUAUUACUAGUUUAGUAGGGAACAGAAAUAAAAUAAAUAAACAAA